rnacentral:lncRNA from 12 species
CCCCCCCCCCCCCCCCCCCCCCCCCCCCCCCCCCCCCCCCCCCCCCCCCCCCCCCCCCCCCCCCCCCCCCCCCCCCCCCCCCCCCGGCCGCGCCUCCGCCCGCCCCGCUCCAGCUCCGCCGGGCUGGCGGCGAGGGCGCUCCUGGGAAUGCCACGGCCGGCCUGGGGCUGCCGGCUCCCCCUGCCCCUGUGCUCGGGCCGCCACAGCGCCCGGCAAGUGCCUCACGGGCAGCCGGCCGGCCUGCAGCUCCUGCUGGGGCGCCGAGCGGGCGGGAGGUGCUCCCCUAAGCCGGUUCACUCCACCACCAGCAGCCUGCCCGGCUUUAACGUCAAUAUUAAAAACGCCCUCACAUGCGUGUCACGUAUCCGUGGCCAUCCUCCCGCUGGCGCCUGGGUGCUGCGAGCCGCUGUCCCCGCGGCGCUGCCGUGGCUCACGAAGGGCUCCGAGGGUUGGCGCUCUGCCGUGGCGUUUGCUCGCAGGGAAUCCUUGGGGCAGCUCCACGGCAGCCGAGCUGGGCUGGGGCGCUCGGCUGGAAUGGCCCGCAGAAACGGCUGCCCUGAGUGCUGGUCGAUCAACUCCCCGGCAGAACAGAUCUUGCACUUGCCAGACGAUGACUGCAUGUGUGUCCCUGCUCACUGCUGACAGCAUCCUGAAGGCAGAGGUUUCUACUGGCCUCUUCCACGAAACUCCUGCCUGCCAAUACCUCCAAGGCUCUUUGCUGUUCUCUCUGCUGCUGUCCAGUUUUCCUCAGAAGCAGAUGUAGGACAGAGCAAAUACAGUGCACAUUAUCUAGGAGAUCAGUGAAGCUAAGCAGGCUGUACAUUGCCUUGUGUGAUUGUACAGCAAAACUGUAACAGCAACAAUGAAAAUGGAGGCAAUGGCCAACAGCACAUCAACUCACCCUUGGAAUAUUAGAUUUUACUGUGCAAAGAACAUGAACAUUUCAGAUUGGUAACACAAAUUUUACUAAAAAUAAGAGUUUUCAGGACAGAAUUGGCCAUCAUAUACAAACAUCUGAAUAAAUCAUCACAAGGUAUUUACUACAACCUUUAGAAGGGACCUAUGCCAUAGCCUAAGUAGAACUGCACUGAACAGUUAUCAUGUGUGUUAAAAAAAAGAUUAUAAACUGUUUGGACUGAGAAAGAUAAGUAGGGACAAUUAAAGAUUUUAUCAGAAUGAUAAUGUUUUUCUUACUUGAAUGCUUCAAAGUAGAACCUUUCAGCCCAUGCAGUUUUUUUAAAUAAUUACAAUAAUUAAAGAUCCUGCACAGAUACAACACUAUGCCUGCUCUUCAAUUUCAAAUCAGAGUUUUUCAAUAAAAUACUAAGCAUUCUGAAUUCAUUUGCAUCAAUAUAAAUUUGCAGUACCUCCAUGAAAGUAAGUAGAGUGACACCAGUUCAUACUAGAAUAACUUCAAAUCAAAUCUGGUUCUUAUCAUUGGUUCACUGAUGACUCCCUCUAUCCUACAAACAGUACCUGAAUACAAAGAGUAUCCUUUGAAGUUAUUCAGCAUAAUUCUUCCUGGGUUUCUACUAUAAUUCUUUCUCUUCUGCAUAGAUGGAGAAGAUAGUAAGAUGAAAAACAAGGAGCAAGAAUACAAGUGGUAUUUCCCUACUAUUCUCCUGAACAACAGAACACGCCGCAGCACUGAGACCUGCACAGAUCUCACUGCUACUCAAAUUCUUCAGCGUGUGGUAUUAAUGUUCACAGAGAGUGGAUUGAGGUCAAUGGUUCCAAAAUUUUAGUGUUCAGUGAGCCACUGUCCAUUCCUGAAAUUUCUUAAGUACCCACUAGACGUUUUUCAAUUAAGCUCCAUCUACUCUCAUCAUAAAGAUUUCAGCUGAAAGCCUUCCAAAGGUAACAUAAUGUGAGGCCUAGAUUUUUUUAGUCACUUUUACAGUUUCUUUUUCUCUCCUUUCCAAUGAAUAUGUACCUGUCUUGGCA